AAUCAACGCUGGCGGCGUGCCUAACACAUGCAAGUCGAACGAGAAAGGAGACUUCGGUCUCUGAGUACAGUGGCGCACGGGUGAGUAACACGUGACUAACCUACCCUCGAGUGGGGAAUAACUUCGGGAAACCGAGGCUAAUACCGCAUAAUACCCACGGGUCAAAGGAGCAAUUCGCUUGAGGAGGGGGUCGCGGCCCGAUUAGUUAGUUGGCGGGGUAAUGGCCUACCAAGACGGUGAUCGGUAUCCGGCCUGAGAGGGCGCACGGACACACUGGAACUGAAACACGGUCCAGACUCCUACGGGAGGCAGCAGUGGGGAAUUUUGCGCAAUGGGGGAAACCCUGACGCAGCAACGCCGCGUGGAGGAUGAAGUCUCUUGGGACGUAAACUCCUUUCGAUCGGGACGAUUAUGACGGUACCGGAAGAAGAAGCCCCGGCUAACUUCGUG
rnacentral:rRNA from 1 species